CGUGGCUCCCCCGCUCCCAGGGAUGAUUUUCGUCAAUUAUCCCGGCUUUUGUAAGCUAUUGGCCCCGUGGUCUUAGCAGAGCUUCACACGGACGUGUCCAGCUAGCUCCGACCUCAGACCACGCCCCAGUACUCUUGCUUCUAGUCCACAAUGCUUCUUCUAUGAGAAGCAGGGGAUUGGAUGAGAAGUUGAAGAGGAGUCAGUCUGCAAGAA